UAUGCACCCGUUCGGAAUCUCGCAUCGUCGGACGGCCCCGUACGAGCAGCAGCACUAGAUACUGGGAAGCAGAAGUACAGACAGUUCGGGCCUGUUGGGGACGCCUGUGUCGAAGACCACCACCAGCUGUGUGUGAGUGGGACUUUUUUGGUCCGGAUUAUUCUGGAUUUGUUUUUGGAGGCGAUUCUGUGGGAAGCUGUGUGUGGGGGAGUCUGGAGACCCCCGCGGAACAGUCACCUGUUUCGAGUGGUGUGAUGUGUUUUUUUUUUUCUUGAAGCAAGGAGAAGGAUUGGUUGACAGAUUUUCCGGGGGCACAUCUGUGUGAACUCUGUAGUGUUGGUGGUGGUGGAGUGCCCAGCAAGAAUCUCUUUGCAUCCAUUAUUGAUGGGGGAGACUGCGAAGAUCCGAAUGGUGCCGGAGGCCACUGGGCUGCUGAAUAAAUGAUUGUACUUUGUCUCCUCCCAGGACCUAUCCCAGCUGUAGUGGCAACACAAGAGUCUCGAACUUGUCGUCGAAGGUCCCGGUCCAGCAUCCGACGGGCUGUUUUGCUGUGUGAGUGUUUGCGUGGGGUUGUGAGUUGGCUUUUCCCGUGGAAAAUCCUACCCGAGUAAGACUGACGGCCGGGAAUGAUAACGCUUGAGUACAAUAUUUUAGCCAUCUGUCACGGGGCUACGACGAAUCUGAAGGAUUCGAGUGCCGUUUGCCGAUAAGAUCGCGGUAUAAAUCACACCAAAUCGUGUGUGAAUGUGUGCCCGUGUAUUUGUGUGAAUUUGGUGUGGGAUACAUGGAAAUUCGACCGAACCUGCUCUGAUAUCGCGCGCGCUCGAGAAGAAGAGGCCCAAAUAUAUACGUACGCAGAGAGUUUGUGUGUAGGAUUCAAAAAUACAUUUCACCUCACCAUCAGCAGAAAGUGUUGAGGUUAGAGAGUUGAAAAGUUCGGAAAUCGAAGGUAAAAUAUACAUAAAAGAAAUCGAAAGCCAAAAAAACGCGUUGAAGGAUACACUCUUUUUCUGGGAUUGAAAGAGACCUCAAGCAACCGGCCAGUGAAAGUGUUGGUGCGAUCCAUUUCGAGAAGGAGAAAGUGUUCCAAAGGAAGAAAAAGGAAAAGUAAAGAAGAAAAACAGCAUAAAUCAGUGACGAAGAAGGAAAAGAGUAUAGAAAAAGUGGUGGAAUGAGAAAAAAAUUGUAAUUGUUAUUGAUCGAGAAGAGAGAAAAAAAAAGUCAAAAGAAGAAAAGCAGAAUAUAUUAAGGCAAAGAAGUAGAGUCGUGUCCGUGUUUGUGUGUGUGCACACGAUCAAAGUGAAAAGGAAACCAGCCGAAGGAAAGAGGAAAAGGAAGGAAGGAAGUUGCGAAGAAGAAGAGUCCAGUCUGGAAGUGAUUUUGGGGUCGUGCCAACUAUACAUUUGCGUGAACGGGCUCGCGUCGAACCUGCAAUUAAUAAUAAUAGUGUGAGGUGAGGAAAACCCAUUCGAACGUGGCAACAAUUGUUUGUGUGCUGCCGCCAGUGUACGUGUGCAAGAUUAAUCAUCAACACCAGCAGCAGCAAAUAUCCAAUCCGAGGAAACCCCAAAGAAUUUCCCGCACAAGCAAAUUUCCCUCCGUGCCAGCUCGGAAGCAUCCAAACUAAGCAACAAAAAAGAAAAACCAGCAACGUCAAAAAGGAAAAACUUCACUACUCUACAGUGUUUGUGUGUGCACGAGUGUGAGUGCGAGUGCGUGGGGAGGCAAAACUGGCUGGUGUUAGUGGCUCCCCCGAGAAGAGUUUUUCUUUGCUUUAAGGUUUUGCUUCUUCCUGCAUCGAGCGUCGUCGAACUCGUCGUCUUCGGACUACAGGUUUCCAUCAGUUUCCGAAGCAACAACAAAAAAAAAACGCAGCACCAGUUUGCUCCCGUUGGAAGUCCCACUGAUGUUGUAACUGAGCCAACAGCAAUAAAGGUAAGGCAAAAAAGCGAUCGUCACACAAAUUACGACAUCUACAAUCGUUGAAUUAAAUUCACAGUCGUGUUUAACCCACAAAAAAAACCACCCAGCCCAUUAAAACCAUCUGCGUUAAUUCCUGUAAACACACAAACACAACACUUUGCAGAUGGAAUUUUCCCCGGCAAGAUGUGAUUCACCAGCAGCAAAACAAACGUCUUAACAGCGAACAUAAAGCGCAGUGAAACGAAACUUUUCAAAUUAAUUCUUCCCGGGUUUUUUUUUUGUCGACUUCUCAGCAACAAUUUAAUCUUGCAUAAAUUUGCAAAAGAAAAGAAAGCCAUAGAGUGCUUCUACUUGGUCAGGGUCCUUUCAUUUUAAUGUGCACCUUUUCGGAGGAAAAGCAACAAACGCUCUGCUGGCAGCACUGCCUCUGAUUAUUUUUUUUGCUUGCAGAGGGUAAAGUAAUUGCCACCUUAAUGGCUCUUUCUUGGUUUUUUUGUGAUUUUUGUGGAAAUUUUCUGCGGUGGAUUGUUGAGUUUUUGUUCGUGAAAAUUUUAAUCUUAUAAGUGUAGUAAAUAAAUAACGUUCGCUAAACUGGAACUGAAAUUUUAAUCGCUACUCACCUUUGCAUUCACCAAAGCAUGAAACAACACUUUUCGCAACUUUGCCUAACAAAACGCAUAAAUCAUGCUCU